GACGAACGCUGGCGGCGUGCUUAACACAUGCAAGUCGAACGGAAAGGCCCUGCUUUUGUGGGGUGCUCGAGUGGCGAACGGGUGAGUAACACGUGAGUAACCUGCCCUUGACUUUGGGAUAACUUCAGGAAACUGGGGCUAAUACCGGAUAGGAGCUCCUGCUGCAUGGUGGGGGUUGGAAAGUUUCGGCGGUUGGGGAUGGACUCGCGGCUUAUCAGCUUGUUGGUGGGGUAGUGGCUUACCAAGGCUUUGACGGGUAGCCGGCCUGAGAGGGAGACCGGCCACAUUGGGACUGAGAUACGGCCCAGACUCCUACGGGAGGCAGCAGUGGGGAAUAUUGCACAAUGGGCGGAAGCCUGAUGCAGCAACGCCGCGUGCGGGAUGACGGCCUUCGGGUUGUAAACCGCUUUCGCCUGUGACGAAGCGUGAGUGACGGUAAUGGGUAAAGAAGCACCGGCUAACUACGU
rnacentral:rRNA from 1 species